rnacentral:misc_RNA from 1 species
GAUGAAGAACGUAGCGAAAUGCGAUAAGUAAUGUGAAUUGCAGAAUUCAGUGAAUCAUCGAAUCUUUGAACGCACAUUGCGCCCGCCAGUAUUCUGGCGGGCAUGCCUGUUCGAGCGUCAUUACAACCCUCAGGCCCCCGGGCCUGGCGUUGGGGAUCGGCGGAAGCCCCCUGCGGGCACAACGCCGUCCCCCAAAUACAGUGGCGGUCCCGCCGCAGCUUCCAUUGCGUAGUAGCUAACAUCUCGCAACUGGAGAGCGGCGCGGCCACGCCGUAAAACACCCAACUUCUGAAUGUUGACCUCGAAUCAGGUAGGAAUACCCGCUGAACUUAAGCAUAUCAAUAAGCGGAGGA